CACUUCUCUUCAGCAAACUGUGAACGAAGUUGUGUGAAAAUCUUUUACUCCGCAGAAUUUGUGCUUGUUCCGGCAACAUUGUGCAUACCGUGUCUACUGUUCGUAGUGUGAGAUCUAGAAAAGUGAAGACAUUGAAUUGCCCCAAAAGAGCACCAUCAGCGUACGGAAUCAGCACCGGAUCAACCGUUGAGACGUUAGCUGCUGGUGUAGCCCUAACGUGUAUCCCCGGGUUAGCCUGCACAGUCGGAAGUAGUACAGUUGUGCCAAUUGAUUACCAACAGAAAGGAUCGCCUGGAGCGGCGGCUAGCGUUUUAUAUGAAUUUAGAAAACGUACAAGAAACAUCAGCACUCAAAGGAGCACCGCUAUCUCCCAUAUUACGGAGUUUCAGUGGUACGACGUGCAUGAUUUCGCAUAGUAGUAAAAGUCUUAGGACUUCCAAAUAUUCUAGCAAUAGACAUCGAAAAUUACAGCCGUUCAGAGAAACGUGAAAUUGCCCCUCGAAAAUAGGAUUCUACCAAUUUUAUUUAAAUCAAGAAUAAGCAUCAACCUUAACUAGUUUACUGCUACCGGUACUGUGAAUUACAUACAUUACGUACAUAUUGUUAAUCGUACGCUAUAAGCGUCGCCCCGCAAGUUGGAGGCCAAGGAAGCAGGAACCGUGGAAUAAGACGAGGCAAGGUAAAAGAUCAGCGUGUAAAGUGUUUGGGAUCGACUGGCAAGGGACGUGCCCAUUUCUAACGGAAGCAGUCUUUGUGUGUGUGUCUGCUAGGCGUUUGCCAACGGGUUAAUUUUUGCUCUCGGUCAAGAGAUAAGCACGAUCUUCUAUCGACCCACGCCAACACCGUACCACAAAUGCUUUUGCUAUCAACCAGCUUGCGAGUCGCGAACGCCGAAAUCGUUUUUUCCCAACACAUCCGCCCGGGUGGCAAAAGAAGUGCCACAGCAGCUAGUCGCCCAGCGCCGUACAACGACGACGAACCGACCCAAAUGCAUUUGUCUCGUGUGCAGCAGCAGUGCCGCUGGUUUCGCUAAUCGAAGACAAGCCCAAUGCUGUUCCCUUCCCCCGGCAUUUAGUGCAGCUGACCGUUGAACCUGCAAGCCAACCGUUGGAACUUUGCCUUAAAGCUGGCCGAUUCGGAUUGAUUAAAGCAAAAACGACGACGAUCCCUUUACUGUCCGCUACGCGGUGAGAGGAAGAUACAAACGGAACAUCCUUUUGUUGUACUUUUUGGAACACCGUUGAGCGUGGAGCAGCAAGUAAUCGGAUCUUUAUCUCGCGAUCUUUGCCGGUAAAUUAUUGCUGUGCACGUAGAAAUCGCUGAGAGCUUCAGUGUCCGGUCAGCAAAAUGGCUACCGUUAACGUGAAUCGUAAUGUCACCGACAUCUUCUACCGUUACAAGAUGCCCCGCAUCAACGCUAAGGUAGAAGGUAAGGGCAAUGGCAUUAAAACGGUCAUCGUCAACAUGGCGGAAGUGGCCCGAGCCAUUGGUCGCCCGGCAACCUAUCCGACCAAGUACUUCGGUUGCGAGCUUGGAGCCCAGACGCAGUUUGACUACAAGAAUGAAAGAUUCAUUGUAAAUGGUUCGCACGAUGCGACGAAGCUGCAGGACCUACUGGAUGGUUUCAUUCGUAAGUUCGUCCUGUGCCCGGAGUGUGACAAUCCCGAAACCGAUCUGAUCGUGUCGUCGAAGAAGGGAACCAUUGCUCAGGGCUGCAAGGCGUGCGGUUUUCACGGCCCACUCGAGGUGAACCACAAGGUGAACACGUUCAUAAUCAAGAAUCCGCCGAACGUGAACCCGGCCAGCCAGGGCGCGUCGCUUACCGAGGGCAAACGCAGCAAGCGCGCGAAGAAGGUGGGCGAAAACGGGGAAGAGUCUACCGGCAAUCUGAACACGACCAAUGGUGGCGCAGAAGAGGCGAACGGUGACGAAUCACCGAAUGAAUCGAUGUCGACGUCGGCGACUACGGCGACUGUGAAGACCCACGAGGAAGAAGACGUAAGCUGGACGGUGGACACGUCGGAAGAAGCAGUACGGGCCCGGAUGCAGGAUCUGACUGAUGGAGCAAAGAACAUGACCGUGUCGGAUGAUUUUGACAAGACGGAAAAGGAACGGCUGGACAUCUUCUAUGAGCUGGUGAAGCGCAAGCGAGACGCUGGUGAGCUGGACAACGUGCAGGUACACAGGGAACUGGCAACCGAGGCGAGUCGGUUGGACAUUCAGUCAAAGGCUACGCUGGUGCUGGCGGAAUUGCUGUUUUCGGCCAAUAUCAUUCAGGAGGUGCGCAAGUACCGCAACCUCUUGCUGCGCUUCACUCACGAGGACAAAAAGGCGCAGAAGUACUUUAUCGGCGGUUUGGAGCAGAUCAUCUCGCUGCAUGCCGAAGAGCUGAUGCCGAAGGUGCCCGGCAUUCUGAAGCUGUUCUACGACAGUGACAUCCUGGACGAAAAAGUUAUCCUGGACUGGUCGCAGAAAGUGAGCAAGAAGUACGUGUCCAAGGAGAUUGCUGGUCAGAUUCACGAGCGUGCCAAACCCUUCAUCCAAUGGCUGCAGGAAGCGGAGGAAGAGGAAUCUUCCGAGGAUGAGGACGAUUCGGAUGUGGAGAUCGAGUACGACGACCGUGCAAAGGUUGACUCGUUGCGGAAGGAGCCGGCAAAGCAGGACCCGAAGAAGGCGGCCGUUGCCGCCAUGCAGCAAGACGACGAAGAUGGCGACGAUCUUAACAUUGACGAUAUCUAAGAAGCGCACCAUUCUCCUCGCUUACGUCCCAUCGUUCGCCUUAUCGUCUUUUAUACCCGGCACACCAUGUCACUCGAGCAGGCGGAAUUAUCAUCUGCUUUAAACUAAAACCCCCAGCGGUUCACAUUGACAAGAAAAAGGGUAAAUUUAUUUUCUUCGCAUCAAAACGUUUUCGGAGAACAUCCACACGGUUCUGAGGCUGGUGGCCAGUCUAAGUGCAGCUUACUUCCCCGUACUCUACCGGGCAGCACCUUUUGUCCUGCAUCGUCUUCUACUUCCUAUGUUACAUACAAUAAUAAGCCAAUAAGCAAGAAAACCCAAUAAAAAUUAUAAU